rnacentral:rRNA from 1 species
CAAUAGCGUAUAUUAGAGUUGUUGCAGUUAAAAAGCUCGUAGUUGGAUUUCUGAUCGAGACAUCAGGUCGGGUCCGAGAGGAUCAUGUACUUUGAUUUUGUUUUGAUCAUCCUUGGGGAGAGCAUUUCUGGCAUUCAGUUGUCGGGAUUGGGAUCCUCAUCGUUUACUGUGAAAAAAUUAGAGUGUUCAAAGCAGGCCUCGGCCUCUGAAUACAUUAGCAUGGAAUAAUAAGAUAGGACUUUGGUGGUCUAUUUUGUUGGUUUGCACGCCAAAGUAAUGAUUAAUAGGGAUAGUUGGGGGUAUUCGUAUUCAAUUGUCAGAGGUGAAAUUCUUGGAUUUAUGGAAGACGAACUACUGCGAAAGCAUUUACCAAGGAUGUUUUCAUUAA